AUGUAAUCUUAAAUCUAAAAUUGUUAGCAACAUUCUUUUUGUUGUUGUUGAUCAUGUUUUGCUACAAUAACAUUUUCAGACAAAAUGAAAUCAGGGCAAAUUCACAUUGAGAAAAUGGAAUCAGGUGAUGUUGGAACCUUUUACGAUGGACACGGGGCCAGAUUUUCGUUUGCAAGAAUGAUUGCUAAAAUAGCCGAUAAAUUUCCUCCGGACAAAAUUGGCACGCUA